rnacentral:pre_miRNA from 1 species
UGUUAAAAUUUUUAUCCAUUUAUACUGUUAAAAACUGACGUGACUGACAAAAUAACCGGACAGUGACACAUGACGUGCCAUAUGUACCUCAUGCUAAUGUACAAGACUAGUUUUUAACCGUAAGAAUGAACAGAAUUUUUAAUA